rnacentral:rRNA from 1 species
CCUACGGGUGGCAGCAGUGGGGAAUAUUGGGCAAUGGACGAAACUCUGACCCAGCAACGCCGCGUGAAUGAUGAAGGUCUUCGGGUUGUAAAGUUCUUUUGUCAGGGAAGAGGAGAGUGCCGUUCCCGUAGAAUUAAGCCUCGCCUACCACCGUGCCGCAGCCGCCGUAAUACGUAGGUGGCAAGCCUUAAUCGGGUUUACCGGGGGUUAAGGGCGUGUUGGCGGGCUGACAAGUUUGAUGGGAAAACCGGGGGCUCAACCCCCGAACUACUUACAAAACUGUUGGACUUGAGUGUCGGAGAGGCAGAUGGAAUUCCUAGUGUAGCGGUGGAAUGCGUAGAUAUUAGGAGGAACACCAGUGGCGAAGGCGAUCUGCUGGACUGCAACUGACAGUGAGGCACGAAAGCGUGGGGAGCAAACAGGAUUAGAUACCCCUGUAGUC